rnacentral:rRNA from 1 species
CUACGGGAGGCAGCAGUAGGGAAUAUUGGUCAAUGGGCGAGAGCCUGAACCAGCCAUGCCGCGUGCAGGAAGACAGCCUUCUGGGUUGUAAACUGCUUUUAUCAGGGAACAAAAAGGCCAUGCGUGGCAAAUUGCGUGUACCUGAAGAAUAAGCACCGGCUAACUCCGUGCCAGCAGCCGCGGUAAUACGGAGGGUGCAAGCGUUGUCCGGAUUUAUUGGGUUUAAAGGGUGCGUAGGUGGUCAAUUAAGUCAGUGGUGAAAGCCCGCAGCUCAACUGUGGAACUGCCAUUGAAACUGGUUGACUUGAGUAUAGACGAGGUAGGCGGAAUUUAUGGUGUAGCGGUGAAAUGCAUAGAUACCAUAAAGAACACCGAUAGCGAAGGCAGCUUACUAGGCUAUAACUGACACUGAGGCACGAAAGCGUGGGGAGCGAACAGGAUUAGAUACCCUGGUAGUCCACGCUGUAAACGAUGCUCACUCGAUGUAUGCGAUACACAGUAUGCGUCCAAGCGAAAGCGUUAAGUGAGCCACCUGGGGAGUACGCUCGCAAGAGUGAAACUCAAAGGAAUUGACGG